rnacentral:lncRNA from 1 species
AUUUUUUCAGGUAAUGCAGAUUAGGGAAAAGAUUCAUGGAGCACAUCAUGAUAUGAUGGUGGAAGAUGCACUGCCCCAUGAUGGAUUGAAAAAGAGUAUGACUAUAGUGGAAAGCAAGACCGAGGAAGUAAUAGAAGACGGUGNNNNNNNNNNNNNNNNNNNNNNNNNNNNNNNNNNNNNNNNNNNNNNNNNNNNNNNNNAAAAAAAAGAAUAUAUAAGGCUUUUGAGGGGUGGCAAGAAGCCAAUCCAAAAGGUAGGUCAGGAAAUGCUGCUGUUCGGAAGCUCAACCGGAGGCGACCUGUUCUUACAAAGCUAAAUGUCAAUGGUUGUGAACAUUCAAAUCUUAGAGAAAAAGGCAAUAGACGGGAAAUUGUAUCUCCAGCACGGGAAAAAGCUUCAAGGACCACCACCACUGAGUUAACAGGCAAGAAGGAUUCAAGUAAAUUGCAGGCAAAAGCUUCUGUCUCCGAAGUUUAUGCAAGUCCACCAAACCUUACUGCCAUGGCUUCCAAGUCGCUGUCUUACAAAGAAGUAGCUGUGGCACCACCAGGUACGGUUCUAAAGCCAUUACCAGAGAAACCUGAUGAAGAAAUUGAAGAAAAAACUGAAACACAGAUGUGCAGUAAUGCUCCUGAGACAUCAAAGGCGGAGUUGAAUAACCAUUUCUCUCCCGUUGAAGAUGCGCCAGUUGAUGGUCAGUCUCAAGAAACUCGUGGAAGUGUAACUCAAUCUGAAACUACUGCUGCAGAUACCGGGGAAGUUCCUUCUUCUUCUAAUGAGGAAAAGCCCAUGGAAACAAAUGGGAGUAAGCUUUCUGCCACAGCUGAACCAUUCAACCCAGGAGCUGUCUCCAUGACUCAUCUGCUACACUCUGUAGCAGCCACGAGUAUUUAUGAUCCGAGAACUAGUCAAGGUAUGCUUGCAGAACCUGCUGUACCUUCGGCUGCUGCUAGAGUUCCUUGUGGGCCAAGGUCGCCUCUCUAUUAUAGAAAUAAUUAUUCUUACAUUAUGAAACAUGGAUUUCCAAAAUACCACUCUUCCAUUAUGGAAAGAAACCUGUUGGGGCCUUCAAGAAUCAUGAACCCGCAUGCACCCGAGUUUGUGCCAAUGAGAGGUUGGCAAAUAAAUCCUGGAUAUGCACAUUCAACUGUUUCAAAUGAGUCAAACUCUUCAAAUGACACAAGUGAGGCAGACGAUGAGAAACUUGACAAAAUGUCCAGUAUUCAAGGCGAGGAUAAUACCUCAAGAAAGAGCAGUACAGAGGCGGAGAAGUCAGAGCUGGCAAGACAGAUACUACUUAGCUUCAUUGUAAAGUCAGUCCAGCAUAAUAUGGAUGCUCCAAGUCAUUCUUCAGGCUACGAAAAGAAGAUUGGGUAUUCAGAAAAUUCUUCAGAUGCAAUUGCAAAUGAUAGUGCUAUCAUAAAGAUCCUUUAUGGAAAUGAAAAGGGCAAAACAAACUUGGCAUCUCAGUCCAAUGAUCAAGAACAGCAAAAACCCAAAGAGGAAAACCAAAAAAGUGGGGAUGGUGAAGGAUUUAUAGUUGUCAGAAAACGGAGAAGAAACCGACAGCAGAUCACAAAUGGGGUAACUGAGAUGUACAAUCAUCAAUCCAUCUGUGCUUCUGUUCGUUAAAAGAGAGAGCAAAGCAAUAAAAUGCAAAGGUGCCGUCCUGUUUCUCCCAAUUUUAUUCGAAAAAUUUGUUAGUGAAUGUUACCGUUGUAGAGAUGGUUAAAGUUUGGAGCAAGUUUUAAUCAAUACUUGAUUGUAUCAUUUUAGAUAUCCUCUCUGGAUGUUCUAAUAUAAUAUUUGUACAAAUCGGUUUCUUGUUUUGUUAAGAGAUUUUGUUUUGAUCAAUAAAUGAUGAUAAAUUAAUUGGGCGAUUUUCCUCAUCAAGAGAUCUGUGAUGUUGUUCUAUAAUGGAUUUUAAUGUUUUAGACUGAGAUUUGUAGUUAUGCCUCAAAUUAUUUGGUAUUUGGUUGGUGCGUGUGAACAAUACGUUCGGAAUGGAGUUGAAUUGACCCACUGAUAGAUAGCUUACAUUUGCAGCUGAAGUUGCUGCACUGAUGAUAUUACAACUGACAUGGUAGGCAAAAUUCCUUAUUCAAUUUAAAUUUGCAAUCAACAGAAACUGAAGAAGAAGCCGUAAGUUUAAUCCUAAUGGAUGCAUAGCUGUUUGGAGAAAAGCCAAUGGAGACAUAACAAAGCACGAUAAGUUAUACACGGCAGAACGGUAUGUGCUAGUAAGCACAGUCACCGAUGGAAAACAUAUUUGAAAAGCCAAUAGUAGCAUGUGUCAAUACAUCUAUCAAUGAAAUAGAACCACAGUCUGCGCCAGUACGAGUUUAUCCAAAGUGCUGCAAGUAAACCCAAAAUCACUGACACAUAGGAUGCUCCAAAACUCCAUCUUAAUGCCACCAUGUCAAUCACAGAAUCGCCUUCAUCUUCUCCUCCUCCUGUAGGUGUCGCUGGUGGUGCCAACGCGCUGCUGCAUUUCCUCUUUAUCAUUGAGCCACAAAGAGCCGAAUUACCUUUAUAACUGCUGUCAUCAAAGGUGGCAAACUGCUCUUUGUCCGGGAUUGGGCCGGACAAAUUGUUGUAUGACACGUUGAAGUUUGAUAAAAAGUUGAGCUCAGUUAGUUGAGGAAUUCGGCCACUUAAUUUGUUGCGGGAAAGGUCCAGGCUCUCUAUCAUUUUCAGAUUGGAGAAGCUCUCUGGUAUAGUGCCUGAUAGUAAAUUAUUGGACAGAUUAAGUGCACGAAUAUGUUGAAGAUGCCCAAUUUCCCAUGGAAUUUCUCCACUGAACUCAUUGCUCGACAAAUCCAGUCCAGCCAUGUCGUCGAGAUUGAGACCAAUGAAAAAUUCAUAUCUAUACUUUGUCACAAAUUCUACACCUACUGGUUGAUCUAGUCCACCAUGUAGUUCACCUGGCGGCAGCAGAUGAAGAGUGGAAUUGUAGUAAGUAGAAGCGGAAUCACGAUUAGACAUAGCAAAUUCAUAUUCAAAUGAACCAUCAUCAAUCGCUUCCCUCCCGAAUGAGAUGUUACCCAGGCAUGAAGGUAUCGGCCCAUUAAGUCUGUUAUGUGAAAGAUCCAUGAUACCUAAUUUUCUUAAUUGGCACAACUGAUUAGGAAUACGUCCUUGUAGAGAAUUCCCUCUCAAAAGAAGAAAAUGCAAAUUCGAAAGCUCAUUGAUCUGAUGAGGAAUCCUACCAAAAAAUUUAUUGUCCCUCAAAUCGAGAGUCAAUAAUGUAGAGCUUCUAAGCAAUGCAAUUGGAAUUAACCCAUUAAUUGCAUUGUUAUGCAGAUAAAUGUGCUUCACUGAUGAAAGAUUGGAGAGAGAUACCAUGGACCCAGACAAACCAUUUUCGGAGAUGUCUAUAAACUCAAGACUUUCAAGAUUGCCGAGCUGGACCGGAAUACUACCUUGCAAAUAAUUUUCUGACAUUAAAAGAAGCCAAAGGACUGAGAAGUUGCCAAUCCAGUGGGGAAUAUCGCCGGAUAACUUGUUGUUGGAUACAUCUAAUACAUCCAGCAAAGUGGAGCUCAACAAACCAUCUGCCAUUUUCCCACUGAAAUGAUUGUUGUUCAAACGUAAUGAACUCAAAUGAGUCAAGUUCAUAAAAUUGGGAAAAAGUUGGCCAUAGAAAUUGUUAUUUGAUAGGUCCAACGUUUCUAAGGAGAGGCAACUAGAGAAUAUAGAUCGAGGUAAUUCUCCUGAAAAAUUAUUUCUAGACAAAUCCAAAGUAAUUAGCUCUUUCAUCUCACUGAUUGAAUAAGGAAUAUUACCUUCAAAACUAUUUUUUGACACAUCCAAAUAUAUCAAUUUCUGAAAGACAAUACCCAAAUUCUCUGGUAGCUUACCAGAAAAAUUGUUAGUGGAAAUAUCUAGAUGACGAAGCUUGUCGUAUUUGGCAUUGGGAAGUCGCGGAAGAAUUCCCGAGAAUGAGUUAUUCCACAAAAUCAAAACUUCUAAUCCUGUGUUGUUUUGCAACAACCAAGUUGGGAAAUUGCCAACCAACUGAUUGUGAGAGAGAUCAAGGAAUUUUAAGUGGUGUUGGUGUAAAAGAAAACUACUAUUGACAUUUAAGUGGCAGUGAGAUAAUUGGAGAACCUUGAGAGGAUAUGUGGGGAGCCAGUUUUCGGUUUUCACUUGCAACAUAUCGUUUCCUGACGAGAGUACCAAGACCUCAAGCUUUGAAUGAUUAGCCAAUGAAUUUAUUAAGAAUGUUCCUUGGAAAUCGAUGAAAGAGAGAUCCAAAUAUUCAAGUGAUGUGAGGUUGGUCAAGACAGAAGGAAAGUUUCCACUUAACUGAUUGUAAGAAAUAUCAAGAACUUUAAGAUGGGUCAAGUUGUUGAGACACUGAGGAAGAUGACCCUCAAAAUUAUUUGAGCUUAAAUCCAACUCAAGAAGAUUCUUCAAAUUACAUAUUCCUAAAAGUGAAAAUAAAAAGCUCAGAUUUCAUAAAACGAAAACUAAUUAUAGCACAUUCAAUCAUAAACCCAAUAUAAGACUUAUAAAACGGACAUGAAAUCAAAUUGUCUAAGUAUUUUGGUCAACAUAAAUAAUAAUAGAAUGAUAUGAAUUUAUUUCUCAUAUAAUAUGAUGUUGAUUGCAAAAGCGUUUCAAUUAAUCUAACAAUAAAAAAGAAAAUAAUAAUAAAAAUAUAAAAGCAGUCAGCAAUUCUUGCUCAUCGUAAUCCAUUCAAUAAGCGUUUCAGCAAUUCUCGUUGUUUAAAAUAAUGAUUUUCUGCGGAAGAGUUUGUUGACUUCGUCUUUUUCGUUGGAUAUUGGUUUUCUAAUCUCUAAAUUUGUUGGAUAAUGUAAAGAGAAACUCAUAAUAUAUUGGUUGCUUUCUUAAACUUUAUUUAAUUUCGUCGAAGUACUUCGACCAACAAGUCACUGGGAAGUAGGAAUUGUGUAAUCAGUAAUGCAAAUAUUGGGUGCGUUGGUAUUGUUUUUAUAUGCUGUUUUUUAUUUUUUGAAUUUAGAAAAUAUUAGAUACGUGUUCGGUAGAUUGUUUCUGAAUUUUUUUAAAAAAUAUAAAAUUCAUUCUACACAUUUUAACAAAAGAAAUGAGAAACAACUUUUUCUUAUUUUCCUUAUUUCCCAAUACAAUAUUAAGUUCCAAAAUGAAGAAUUCUCUUUACCUCCUCCUGAAAUAAUAAUAAUAUCAACAUUAUUAUUAUUAUUAUUAUUAUUCUUGUUGUUGUUGUUGUUGUUGUUGUUAUUGUUGUUCUUGUACCCAAAGAAUCAAUUUCCCUCACAAUAAUCUUUUCUUUUUAUAUACAUUAUAAUAUUUAUGUUUUUAUAUUAACUAAAUCAAAUAUGUAGGGUUUAUCAUUUUUCUUUGAACAAAAAAAAUAGAAAGAUCACCUAAUUUAUUCUUAAAAUUAAAAUAAUCAAUAUACAUUGCUUAAUCUUAAGUUUAUGGAAAUUAUUCCAAUAAUAAUUCUUUGAGACAUUCUUACCAAACAUAUUUGUUUUCUCAUUUUUGAGAUUAUUUUUAAAAUGAUACUGAACACAUUUUUAAAUUUUAAAAAUAAAUUUAAAAAUAGCAUUUUCAUUUUUUUUGUGAAAACAACAAUUAGAAAACAAUAUUGGGCUCUUAUUUAUCAUGUUUCAACAUAAAAACACAAUGUAAAUGGUUUAAUAUGGGUUUCUAGAGAAUUUUUUAUAUUACUAUUACUCAAAUUCAAUGCUUCCAAGCUUUUGAAUUUAGCUAAUCUUGCAUCAAGAAUUAAUGAACAUAAGGAAAAAAAAAUUUAUUCAGAACUAUAAAUAUUGAAAUAAAGAUAAAUAUCAUUGUUGAUUUUUUUGUAAAAAAAGAUUUAGAAUUAAGAGAGAGUGAAAGAAAUGAGCGGGUUAUGUCGGAAAUUGGUGAUAGAGUAUGUCAAGUACUAAACUUUGUAUAGAAAGCAGUGCUUCUAAUUUAAAUUUGAUCUAGUUUAAAGCAAUUAAAAAAUGCAAAUAUAUUAUCAUCUUGAUUAACAUCUAAAACAAUUUUUGUCAUUGGAGGAAGUGAGUUGUUAUAUACCUUGAAUUGUAGUUAUCCCACAAGAAUGAAGAUCCAAUGCUUUCAAAUUUGGCAAAUCUGCCAAUCCUACAUGCGCUAAUAAAAAAUGAAAAUAUUACAUUUAAAGGUAUUGUAUGUGAUCUGCACGUUUGAAGAAUAUUAAUUCUUAAUUUGCUUCUUAUCUCAGAUUCAAUGGCUUACCUAGCGUUGUCAAAUUUUGAUUUAAGCUUAAAUCCAACACUUGCAGGUUUGUCAAAUUUGCUAAUCCUAUUAAAAAAAAACAUAAAUUUUGUCAAUAAUAGUUACAUCACUCUCGUCUAAAUUGUUUAAUUAAAAUAAUAUGAUAAAUAUUAAAUGAAAAUUAAUUGUGCAAAUUGUUUAAUUAAAAAAAUUGCCUUCUAAAGAACUGUGUAUAUAAUAAUUAUAACUCAAAUCCAACGUUUCCAAGCUUUUUAAUUUAGCUAAUCCUGCACCAAGAAAGAAGAAAACUUUUAUUAAUCAUCUUUGGAAAAAAAAAAAGAAUUAAGAUUAAGAAACAAAUUUCAAAGUUAGAUUAAAUAAUUGUAGUAAUAAAGCUUAUGAUGAUUAAGAUAUAAUUAAAUUGAUCAUAUACUCAAAAAUGAUUUUAUUUUAUUUUAUUUUUUAAUUUUACUAAGAAAUUAGAAAGUAAAUUUUUGUCGUGUACCAAUUAUAGUCAAGUUUGUCAAGUUUUCCAGUCAAAAAUUGCUUUUAAUUUGACAUUAUACAUAUGUAAAAAUUAAAGCCAUAAUAAUAUCACAAGGAAUUUGGGUAGUGACUUGUUGCCGUGUACCUUGAAGUGUAGUUAUUCCACAACUACCAAGAUCCAAUUCUUUCAGGUCUGUCAAAGAUAAUCCUAUACCAACGAAAAGCAAACUAUUACUUUUAAAAUUAUUGUAGAAGGUUGUGAUUAGUGUGCUAACUUGGUAGUUAUCUCAGUAGCCUACCUAGCCUUGUUAAAGAGCCACUAGUUAUAUUGCGGUUCCCGCUUAGAUCCAACACUUGCAAGUAUCUCAAAUUUGCUAAUCCUGCUUAGAAAACAUUAAUUUUGAUCAAGACAAUAUAAAUAUAUAUUUUAAUUAAUAAAUUAAUUAAGUUGCCUGACAUGUAUAUCUGCUGGCUUGAAACGUAUAUGUAUACCUUGCUUGGUUCUGGAACCUUCAAUCUUAUUGUAACGAAGAUUCAGAGUGGUAAGUGAAGUUAGUGUAUUCAAAUAUGGUAAUAUGCUGUCGAUGAAGAAAUUAAAACCAAGAUUUAAGAUCUUUAGCUGCUUCAAACUCCCAAAGCUAUCGUAAGCUGCAAAUGCAUAUGAAGUGUUAUUUUUAAUUAGUCACUGACAAAAUAUUUAUGGACGAGAAAUAAAUGUAUACAUAUAUACGGACCUCUAUUCUCACAGAAGCCUGUAAACCCAUUCCCAGGUAAGUCGAGCCUUUGCAAUUCUUUGAAAGGAUGAAACAAUGACAUAUUCAGAAGCGAAGCCGAAGUUCCAUCAUAAUAAUUCAAUCUCUUUGUAUAAUUGAGUGAGAGUUGCAUCACGCGUCGUGUGGUGGCGUUGCACAUAACUCCCUCCCAAUCAUCACAACAAUCAGACGGCAUUCCAUCAUCCUCACCAACCCAUGAAGGAAGAAUUUUGUCAUCAUAUCCAAUAUCACUGACUAAUGAUAUGAAGAAGCUCUUGAUUUCCAACAGAGCAGUCCUCUCUGUUUCCAAGCAUCCUUUGUAUCCAUGAAUUUCAUCCAUCGAUACAAUAAUCCAAAUUAGUGACAUUAAUGAGAACUUAAUACAGGAAGUACUUUCCAUUGUAGAGCAACUUUUCAUUUGGUUAAAAUUAAAUGUGCAAUGAGCAACUUUCCAUUGCAGAGCAAUUUAUACUAAAAGUUUAUCGUAGGUCUUGCAAUUUGAUUGGCUGAAGACUUUUUUAAGACUUUCCAAUACAUUGCCAUCUUUGAAGACUUGUAAGCACUUCAUUAAUACCCCGUGGAAAAUAUAGAUAAAGUGAUUGUAAACUAUAAAUUUUUGUAAUAGUUUGAUGGAGAUAAUCAUAACUAAUAAAAAAAAAGUUGACCGAGAGAAUUUAAAUAAUUCAACCAUAUGUUUGGAUUUCCAUUGCAUUAUCAGUCAAUCUAUUAAAUAAUGUGUUUUGAGAAGAAUUUGAUUGGAUGUUUGAUAAGUUUAAAUUAAUUUAUUAGAAAAUCAAUAAUUAAUCAACAUAAAUCUUCGUAUAUGUUUAGUUAGUGUGGCGUUGUCUGAAAUGACAAAAAACAUAAAUGUUAUUUGAAGCUCUUGUGACCCUUUGUGUUCAUGCAUUUGAAUCAAAGCUGUACUAAAAUCAAAGAUAUUGGGCAUCCUUAAUAAGGAAAGUUUCCAUUGCUCUCAGUCUGCACUCUUCAUUACUAUUGCAAUCACUUGAAAUGACUAAAACAGAAAUUUCGUAUGAACUUGGGACAGCUGCACGGGUCCAAUUUAAAUGACAACUACGUGGAAAAUAAAAAUUUUGCAUAUAUUAUUACAACUACGUGGAAAAUUAAAGUUGACUGACUUUCAAAUUAAGCCAACAAACAAGUGGCCAUCAACUCUUUUUCCACUAACAAUUAGUGGCGACGGUCAAUACUAUAAAAUAAAAGUUGACUAAGAAUUUAUGUAAUUUAAGAGUAUGAUUGGCCUUUUAUUGAAUAUUAUGAUUGGGUUUGCACUGAAUUAUCAAAAAAUCUAUUCAACGAUUUAUAUUCUAAAAUAUUUAGUGAGUUUAGAAAAUUAUUUUAUUAGAUUUUUGUUAAUUUUUUUUAUUAUUAUUAGAUGGCCAACAAUUAAUCAAGUAAUUUUCCAUAUAUAUUUGAUAAUUUACUCAUAAAAGCGUGGACUACAUUCAAAUGGCAUUUUAUAUGAUGUGUGAUAUAUGUAGAGGUGAAAUUUAAAUAGGCUUAAUUUUAUAAAUAAAUACAUAUGUAUUGCAGCAUUCAAUCAUUGUGUUAAAGCGCCAAUCACGGUGACCACCAAAACCUAUGAAUGAUUAGUCCAUCGAAACCCAAUGUAUGCUCAAUUAAUAUUUCCUAUCAAGAUCAAAUUUUUCGCUCUAUUGCUUCAACAAUCAUGAGCAUAAAAGCUCGAUUUAUACAAAAAUUACGAAUUUAUGAAAAAAAAAAGUCACAUUUAUUAUAAUAUGAAGUUUGAUUGAUUUUUAAAGAUUGAUUCAAUCAAUCUUAAUGUUACUGGACAAUCGAUCUUAAUGUUAAUUCAAAAUCAAUCUUUAUUUCGAUGGGCACAGAUAAAGAUAAUUAGUUUUGGUCUCUAUAAUGACUGACGAAGACUUGUAGGACCUGGACCAAUGAGGAAAAACACUUUCAAAUUAAGCCAACAUACAAAUGGUCGUCAAUUCUAUUUUUUACAAAAAUUGAUGGAGAUAGUCAACUAAUAAAAUAAAAGUUGAUUGAGAUAAUUUAAAGAAUGUAGGCAUAAGUUUGGCUUUUAAAUUGUCAAAUAAUUUAUUCCACUAUUGAUACUUAAAAAAGUGCUUUGGAAUUAAUAAUUCAAUAGGGUGUUUGAUAUAUUGGAAUUCGUGAAAAUCAAUAAUCAACUAUUUUUUAUACAUGUUUAGAAAUUUAUCCGGUGUGUAUAGGGGCUUGUAUAUUUCACAAUAAACAUGAAUUAGUACAUCCAUUGAUUGACGUAUAAUUAUAAUCAUAUAAUCAAACACGCACACUACAAGGCGACCUUCGAUUGACGUAUUCUGUGAACUAACCCGUGGGAGAUGGAGGAUGUCUUAACGUUAUAAAAAAAAAUUGAUGAAUAAUAUAGUUCCAGGCAGUGCUAAAACCAUAAUGUACGCCAGUAUGAGUUUAUCCAAAGUCACCGGCUACACCAAUAUCAUUGUGACAUAGUAACAUUCUUGUCCCAUUGAGUGAGAGUUGCAUCACCCGUCGUGUGGUGGCGUUGCACUCAACUCCCUCCCAGUCAUCACAACAAUCAGACGGCAUUCCAUCAUCAACCCAUGAAGUAAGAAUAACGUCUUCAUAUUCCCUAUCACUGAUUGAUAUAAAGAAGCUCUUGAGUUCCAACAGAGCAGUCCUCUCUGUUUGCAAGCAUGCUUUGUCUCCAUGCAUUUCAUUCAUCAAAAUAAUAAUCCAUAUUAGUGAAAUUAAUGAGAACUUGACAAAGGAAGUACUUUCCAUUGCAAAGCAACUUUUCAAUUGGUUAAUAUAAAAUUUGCAACGAGGAAACUUCGAUAUUUAUACUAAACAUUUAUCAUCAUGGACCUUGCAAUUUGAUUGGCUGAAGAUUUCCAACCACCCAACCUAACGAAAAUGAAACAUCUUAGAGAUAUCAAGUAAUAAAAAUACUUGAUUAUCUUAUUUUUGUUUUAGAGGGUUAUUAAAGACAAAACAUUGUCAAUACAUUAUAACAUCGCUAUCUUGAAGUCUUUGUCUUUUAGUGAAGACUUGUAAGCUUGAAAUUACAUAUAUAUUGCAACAUCGACCCAGGAGAAAAAGAACUUCACUAAUACUCCGUGAAAAAUAAAAUUAAAGUUCACUGACUCUCGAAUUACGCCAACAAACAAGCGAGUGCAAACUAUAUUUUCUCCAACAGUUUGAUGGAGAUAGUCGUAACUAAUAAAAUAAAAGUUGUGUGAAAGAGUUUAAAUAAUUUAUCCGUAUAUUUGGGAUUACAUUGGAUUAUCAGUUAAUCUAUUAAAUAAUAUGUUUUGUAAAGAAUUUGAUUGGAUGUUUGAUAAGUUUAAUUUAGUAGUUUAAUUACUCAUAAAAGUGUGAUGUACUCUAAAAUGACAAACACAUAAAUGUUAUUUGAAGCUUUUGUGACCCUUCAUGUUCAUGCAUUUGAAUCAAAGCUAUUAAAAUCAAAUAUAUUGAUAAACCUUAAUAAGGAAAUUAAGUUUCGAUUGCUCUCAAUCUGCAACUCGACUACUAUUACAAUCACUUGAAAUGACAAAAACAGAAAUUUCAUAUGAACUUGGGACAGAUGUACACGGGUUCAAUUUAGCUAAUUUCCCAUAUAUUUACAACUACGUACGGGGAAAAUUAAAGCUGAUUGACUUUCAAAUUAAGCAACAAACAAGUGGCUGUCUACUAUUUUUCCUCUACCAAUUGAUGGAGACCGCCGAUGCUAUAAAACAAAAAUUGAUUAAGAAUUUAGAUAAGGAAAAUUAUCAACUGUCCGUCUUAAGUUUAUCAUUUAUUCAUUUUUCGCCUUAAGUUUACAAUUCGUAUUAGUCAUCUACUAAAAAGAUAGAAUUACACUUAUGAAAUGACAAUACAUAAAUAAAUACAAAUGGCAAUAGUGGUAAUUUUGUAUGAAUUUUUCUAUUCUUUUGGCGGUUGGUUGAUACAAAUUAAAAACAUAAGAAGAAAAAUAAAUAAAUUCAAUCUUUUUAGUAUUUCUGAUAGUAGGUUAAACCAAAGGAGGAGGGCUUUAUAAUUUCCCUUUAAAUAAUUUAAGGGUGUGAUUGCGUUUCUAUUGAAUUGUACGCUUGGAUUUGCAUUGAAUUAUCAAAAAAUCUAUGCAAGCAUCGAAUUGUAAUGACUGACGAAGACUUAUAAGGCUUGGACCAAUGAAGAAAAAUGCUUCAUUAAUGCUCCGUGGAAAACAAGCCAGCUUGGAAGCAGUUGAUCGGAUGGUCAACAGUUGAUUGAGAUAGUCAACUAAUAAAAUAAAAGUUAGUUGAGAUAAUUUUAAUAAUUUAAGCGUCGUUUGGGUUUCAAAUAUCAAAUAAUUUAUUCCAGUAUUGAGAAGAGUUGAAUUCCGUUAUUUUAUUGAGAAGAGAUCCAUCGCUCCCUCCCAAUUAUCACAGCAAUCAGACGACAUUCCUUCAUCACCGUCAAACCAUGAACUAAGAGCUUCGUCAUCGUAUCCAAUAUCACUGCUGCUGAUAUGAAGAAGCUUUUGAUUUCUAACAGAGCAGUCCUCUCAGUUUCCAAGCAAGCUUUGCAUCCAUGCAUUUCAUCCAAAACGACAAUCCAAAGUAGUGAGGUUAAUGAGAACUUAAUGAAGGAAGUACUUCCAUUGCAAAACAGCUUUUUAUUUGGCUAAAGUUAAAUGUGAAUUAAAUAUCUUUGACUGGUGAUAUACAUAUAUUCAGAGAUUUGAAGUGCUCAAACCAAAAACAAAUAAAAAUAUAAAAAUAUUAUUAUAAAAAAAUUGAUGAAUAAUAUAGUUCCAGGAAGUGCUAAUAUGGCUCUUUGAACUCUCUUUACAGUAUUGGUAGAAAUUUAUCCGAUGUGUACAAGGGCUUGUAUAUUUUGCAAUAAAAUAUACGAGCCAAUAUGAAUUUCUUUCUUUCUUUCUCUCUCUUUUUUUUUUUAAGUUUCUCUCUCUUUUUUUUUUUAAGAAACAUGAAUUGGUUCGUCCAUCAAUUAAUAAUAAAACCAUAAUGUACACCGGUAUGAGUUUAUCUAAAAUCACCGGCCACACCAAUAUCAUUGUGACAUAGGAAGCGAUGAGGAAAUUUACGAAAUAUUUAUUAAACCAUAGUCUACGCCAGUAAGAUGGAAUUAGCAUUCAAUGAUCAUAGACUUUCUGCAAUUUCAUUGACUUGUGAUCAGGGAGUCCUUAUUCUACAAUAAUUAUAAUCAAACACGCACACUGCAAGGCAACCUUCAAUUGACGUAUUCUGUCAACUAACUGGGGACAGGGGUCAUAAAAGGGUACGUGAGAGAAAGCACGAGUCUAUGCACAGUUCCGGUUUUGCUAGUUGAUGGAACAUGGAGGAUGUGUGUUAACGUUAACCAAUAGUCAAGUUUAUGAACACAACCAAGUAAUCGUAUCAUCAAUCAGAACCACAUUCGACGCACGACUAGUAAAUAUCAUAAUUGAGUUUGAGGACCACAACCGCACAGUGAAAGAAUUUGAAUGAAGGAAAAGUAAAAGAAAAGGAAAAGGAAAAGAGGGGAAUGCUAAAGAAAAAUAAGUUGAUUCAUCAGUUAUUCAAUAUGACAAUUGCACACAAAUUUUGGAUGUUUUUAGCCUCCAUGUGAAUCAAAAUAAUUAAUAGAGACUAUCCCGCGUGUCACAUGUAACUAACUUUGGCGCCAUCUUGAGCUACUUCUGUUAAGGUCUUCACUCCAUAGUCUUAAGAACACAAUGCACAAUCAAUUCUUCAGAUUCAUAUGGCAAAUGAAUUACUCAUAAAAGAAAGAUAAAGUAAACUAUGGCCUGGUACUGUCGUUUUAUGCGUUCUAGUGGUGUUGUAGUAUAAACAGUACUCGUUUUUCUAUCUUGGUGGUUUCUUGAUUGUGUUCAAAUAUCAAUACUCGGAGACAGAUAGAGGAAAGCUAAAGAAAAAUAAGCUAAUUCAUCACUAACAUAAUAUGACAAUUGCACGCAACUUUUGGAUGUUUUUAGUCACUGAAAUUUUUAACAUUAAUGAUUAAUUACAAGUAUGUGAAUGAAAACUUAUAAACAAAUUUUGUUUACAGGAAAAAUGUAACUGUGAAAGAAAGUAAAAGAGAGCAGAGAGACUAAAACCAGAGGAUUUCAUUCGUCAUUUCAUAACUAUAUUCCUAGUGCAACUGCGCAAGGUUGAGCAUUCAAAGUCCAUAAUUCUAAAUCAAAAUCACCAACAGACACCUGUACAUGAAAUACUCAGGCCUUUACUCUGGACUUAAGACCGCAUGUCUGAGAAAUUCGUCAGAUUCAUGUAGCAAAUGAAUUGCACAAGGAGGCAUAAAAAUUAGUAUAUUUUUCAAGGACCCAGCUUGAAAGCAAUGAACUAAAAAUUAAUACAUAAAAGUUCAAUUACACGUAAAGAAGGAUAAUAGUAAACUAUGGCCUAGCAAGAUGACGGAUGAAAGAAAACCAUGGCCAGCGCCAAUACGAAUUCAACCAAAGGAUUCAUCUUAAUUGCAGAUUCAUCUUCGUCUUCUCCUCGAUUGGAUGUUAUUGCUGGAUUUUCCUAUGUUCUGGUGCAAGUCUUAUUAAUUGUUGGACCACAAAGACCGAGAUUAUAACUCUUUUCAUCAAACCUGCCAAAUUGUUUUUUGUCUGGGAUCAGACCGGACAAGUUCUUAUAUGACUCGUUAAAGUUGGAUAAAUAGUUGAUUAUUGAUCAGAAGAUCACUAAUCAGAAAAUUUUUCAUUUAUGUUUGUGUAAAUUAUUCAUAAAAGUAUGGUCUACUCUGAAAUUACAAAAAUAAACAUAAUAAAUUUGAAUAAAGGAAAGGAAAAUGAGAAGCAAAACAGAGGAAUGCUAAGGAUAAAUAAGCUGAUUCAUCAGUAACUCAAUAUGGCGAUUGCACACAACUUUUGGAUGUUUUUAGCCUCUGAAAUUUCAAUAUGAAUGAUACAUUACAAAUAUGUGAAGCAAAACUUAGAAACCAAUUUUUGCUUACAGAGAAAAUGUUAAAAAACAAAUAAUGAUAAAAGAGUGCAGAGAAACUAAAAACAGAGGAUUUCACGGAUCAUAAUUUAUAAGUGAUAUUCCUAGUGCAAGGCUGAACAUAAAUCUUAGGUGUGCGAAUCAAGAUCAUUAACGAAGAGAUCACGCGUGUCCCAUGUAACUAACUUUGGCGUGAUGUAGGAUGGUUGCAUAGAAUGAGUAGGGUAUCUUUCAAAUGUCAUAACUUGGGCUACAAGUGUAACUAACAACGACGAUGCUCAAGUUUGGUUAUCGUCGAUGACUGCGGAUUGAUGUUCGUAGCUCCUCCUAUAUCAAGGAAAUGUCAUAAUUACUUUCCAAACAUAAGAAAUACAACUAUUUUAUGUGAUAUGAUUCACAAUAAAUAUUUAUCCCAUAGCUUAUAACUCUCGAAUCCAUUAUUUGUAAAUAAAAAUUACCCUAAUACUCUCAAAACCAUCAAUUGCACCUUAUGCUCAAAAUUUCAUAUUCCAGCUCAAUAAUUAAAUUUCCAUAUCCUAUAAUACUAAUAAAUCAGCCACAUUAUCGCCAAUCUCAUUAUUAGCCAUGAACUACCCAAACAUAAUAUAUAACAAUAAGCUAUUUACAUACCGAAUUGAGGAAAUAGUGAGCGCUACACAUUUUGGCUCUAAUGCCUUGGUGCCCUUGUGCACCUAAAAUGAUCCACCAAUUACUAAAAUUAGCUUGGGACUGACUACACCCAUUUGUUGGGAACCCUAACUAUAAAUAAAGUACACUAAUCUUUGAAUUAUUUUCAUUUUCAUGUAAAUGCAAUUUCAGGUAAAGAUAAAAUGAUAGAAAUCUUACUUCAUUUGGUAAGAAAUUCAACUUGAAAGCUUGAAUCCCUUCCCUCUCACUGAAAUCCUUUCUCUACACUUCCUACAUUUAAAUUCCUCUCCAAUGAAUUUCCAAAUGAACUUAGGGAUAAAAAUACUCUAGAAUGACUCUCGAAUCCAAGUUGUGCAAGACCAAACUCAAUUUUGGAAAAAUCCUAAAUCAUGAAAAUUUUCCCAUUGUCUUCCUCUCAUGCCCGUGAGCUUUUGCAAAGCAAUGGUAAGUGCUUUCUUUUUUAAUUCGCUUUAUAUAUAAAACUUAUUUUAUUUUUUUGUUUAUGGGCUUUUGAAAUAUCCAUUUAGGCCCAAUUAAAGAAAAUUAAUUUAUAUACAUUCGUAUUCAUAAGUUAUUAUUAAUAACUUGUAUAUACAAGUCAGGGCAGUACGCAAAUUUACUGAAUACAGAGUAAAGUUGUACUUUAAUUGGUGAACUCUGAAGGCACCAAUUAUAACAUCCAUUUCUAGCAUAUAUAUAUAUAUAUAUAUAUAUAUAUCAUGGAAAUCUGACAUGCUUAUACAGAUCACAUACAGGAUUCAGAGAUGAAGGGCAGCAAAGAUUGAUAAUUUUUGUUUUCCCCAAUCACCUUGAACAGAGUGAGAAGAAACCAUUAUUUCUAUAUGUGCAGUUCUUCCAUCCUAUUGUUAUUUAAUGGUUGUUAAAUAUAUAUUUGCAACCAACAGAAACUGCAGAAGAAACAGUAAGUCUAAUUUUAACGAAACCGCUCGAAGGAACUUCAAAACAUGAGCAUAGUUUUAGAACCAAAUUAAGAAUUUUAGCAAACACAUACACUGAUACAUAGCAGUUUGCAGAAAAGCUAACGGAAUACGUAACACAGCAUGACAAGUUAUACUCGCAGACCCGUAGGAACUUACUACAAUGGCCUAGCACAAUCACCGAUAGAAUGCAUAUUUGAAGAGCCAAUAGUAGCAUGUGUCAAUACAUUCAUCAAUGAAAUAGAACCACCGUCUACGCCAAUAGGAGUUUAUCCAAAGGACUGCAAACAAACCCAAAAUAACUGUCACAAAGGACGCGCCAAAACUCCAUUUUAAUGCCACCAUAUCAAUCAUCGAAUCGUCUUCUUCUUCUUCUGCUCCUUCUGUUGGUGUUGCUGGUGGUUUUAAUGCACUGCUGCAUUUCUUCCUUAUCAAGGAACCACAAAGCUCUGCUUCUACUGUUUGAUUUAUUGAGGCAUGUGGUUCAGUGGGCGGUUGAAGAUUAAGAGUAGAAUUGUAGAAAGUAGUAGCAAUAGAAUCGAUGUAGAAACCCUGAUACGCUGUGUAUUCAUCAAGCAAACCAUAGUCAUACAAAUAAUAAUUAGUUCAUUCUCUCCAGAAUGACACGUUACCCAAGCAUGAAGGUAUUGACCCACUAAAUAUGUUAUUUGAAAGAUCCAUGAUACGUAAUUUUGCUAACUGGCACAAUUCAUUAGGAAUAUGUCCUUGUAGAGAAUUCCCUCUUAAAAGAAGAACAUGCAAAUUCGAAAGCUCAUUGAUCUGAUAAGGAAUCCUACCAAAGAAUUUAUUAUCCCUCAAAUCUAGAGUGAUUAAUUUAGAGCUUCUAAACAAUGCAUUAGGAAUUUACCCAGUAAUAGCAUUCUUCUGCAAAUAAAGGUGUUUCACUGAUGAAAGAUUAAAGGAAGAUACCAUGGUCCCAGACAAACUAUUUUCAAAGAUGUCUAUAAGCUCAAGACUUUUAAGGUGGUUGAGUUGGACUGGAAUAUUAGCUUCCAAAUAAUUUUUUGACAUUAAAAGAACCCUAAGAGUUGAGAUGUUACCAAUCCAAUUAGGAAUAUUACCGGAUAUAUCUAACCCCUCUAAUGAAGUGGAGCUCCUCAAACCAUCAUCCAUCUUCCCACUGAAAUGAUUGUUGUCAAAAAUAAAUAAUUCAAAUGGGUCAAGUUCAUAUAUUUGGGAAAAAUUCGGCCAUAGAAAUUGUUAUUUGAUAGGUCUAACAAAUCUAGAGCGACGCAACCAGAGACUAUCGGUCAGGGUAAUUCUCCCAAAAAAUUAUUUCUAGAAAAAUCCAGCAUAUAUAACUCUUUCAUCUCACCUGUUGAAUAAGGAAUAUCACCUUCAAAAAUAUUUUUUGACAUAUCCAAAUAAAUCAAUUUCUGAAGGACAAUACCCAUAUUCCGUGGUAGCUUACCAGCGAAAUUGUUAUUGGAAAUAUCUAGAUGACGAAGCAUAUCGUGUUUGGCAUUGGGAUGUAGAUGAAGAAUUCCUGAGAGUGAGUUGUUCGCCAAAGACAAAUAGUUUUAUCUUGUGUUGUUUUGGAACAACCAAAUUGGGAAAUUGCCAACCAACUUAUUAUGAGAGAGGUCAAGGAAUUUUAAGUGGUCCUGUUGUAAAAGAAAACUUGGAAUGACAUGUAACUGGCAGUCGGAUAAUUUGAGAACCUUCAAUUGAGAUGUCGGGUGCCAGCUUUCGGUUUUCACUUGUAACAUAUUGCUUCCUGAUGAGAGUAACAAGACCUCGAGCUUUGAAUGAUUAGCCAAUGAAUUUAUUGAGAAUGUUCCUCGGAAAUUAAUGGAAGAGAGAUCCAAAUAUUCAAGUGAUGUGAAGUUGGUCAAGGUAGAAGGAAAGUUUCCACUUAAUUGAUUAUUAGAAAUAUCAAGAACUUUGAGAUGGGUCAAGUUAUUGAGACACUGAGGAAGGUGACCCUCAAAGUUAUUUGAGCUCAGAUCCUACUCAAAAAGAUUCCUCAAAUUACAUAUUUCUGAACCUGAAAAUAAAAGAUCAAAAUUUUAUAGAAUGGAAACUAAUCAUAGCGAAUUCGGUCAUAAUCCAAUACAAGACUUAAAAAACAGACAAAAAUCAAAUUGCCUAAUUAUUUUGGUCAGCACAAAUAAUAAUAGAGUAAUGUGAACUUAUUUCUCAUAUAAUAUGAUGUUGAUUGCAAAUGCGUUUCAAUAAUCUGAAAAAAGGGAAAAAAAAUGCCCUCAGCACUUUUUGCUUAUCAUAACCCUAAGUCCUUGUUUAUAAUUAUAAUUUUCUGAGGAAGAAUUUGUUCACGUGAUGUUGUUCAUUGGACAAUGGUUCUGUAACCUCUAUAAUGUAAAGAGAAACUCAUAAUAUUUUAGUUGUCUUCUUAAAUAAUAAAUUGUCUUAAAAUACAAUUAAUUUGUCUUAAAUUUAAUUUAUUCCUCAGCAUUCAAGGAAAAACAAAAACAAAAAAAAAAGAAAAAGAAAAAAGAAAUGGUCUUCAUAUAUAAUUCUGUCCAAGUACUUUGAUACACAAAUCAAUCGGAAGGUGGUGUAUCAGUAAUGCAAAUAUUUAAUUAUCAUGUUUCAACAUAACAAUUCUGUGUAAAUUGUUCGCUUUAGGUUUCUAGAGAACUGUUUAUAUUAUUAUUACUACUCAAAUUCAAUGCUUCCAAGUAUUUGAAUUUAAUUAGCUAAUCCUGUAUCAAGAAUUAAUGAACAUAAGAUAAAUGUCAUAUUAAUUAGAUUUAGAUUUUUUUUUUCCAGUUUUGACGUAUAGAUAUAAAUAAUACUUCAAAAGCAUUGAAAUGUAAGAGCUAUUAAAAAAUCGUUUUUCAUUCAAAGCUAUAAUUAAUGAAAUGAAGAUAGAUAUCAUUGUUCAUUUAAAAAAAAUUAAAUUCAGAAAAAAGAAAGAGCGAAAGAAAUGAGCAGGUUAUGUUAAUAAAUAGUGAGAGAGUAUGUCAAGGACUAAAAUUUAUUAAAGAAAGCAGUGGUUCUAAUUCAAAUUUGAUCAAGUUAGAAGUAGUCAAUUAUGCAUCGAGAAUCAAAAGAAUGAAGAAUGGGAAUUCAAAAUUAGCUUAAAAAUUAUAAUAAAGUGAUUAGUUAAGAUUCAAUUAAGCUGAUUUACUAAAAAAUAUUGAAAAAUAAAAGACCACAACAUUGCCAAAAAGACUAGGAAAUUAAGUAGGAAGGGGUGAUUGUUGCGGAAUACCUUGUAGUUAUUCCACAACCACGAAGACCAAUUGCUUUCAAGUAUUGCAAAUAUGCCAAUCCUACAUCAAUAAAAAGCAAAAUGUUACUUUAAAAUUAUUGUAGAAGACUGUGAUCAUUGUGAUAGAUCGGUAAUUUCAGUAGCUUACCUAGGCUUCUUAAAGAGCCGCUUGUUAGAUUGAGGUUCCAGGUUAGAUCCAACACUUGCAAGUUUCUCAAAUCUGCUAAUCCUGCUCAGUAAACAUUAAUUUUGAUAAAAACAAUAUGCAUAAAUAUUUUAAGAGAUUAACUUGCCUGGCAUGCAUUUCUGCCUCAAACAUAUUUACCGUGCUUGAUUCUGGAACCUUCAAUGUUAUUGGAACGAAGAUUCAGAGUGGUAAGUGAAGUUAGUGUAUUCAAAUAUGGUAAUAUGUUGUCGUUGAAGAAAUUACCACCAAGAUUUAAGAUCUUCAGCUGUUUCAAACUCCCAAAGCUGUCGUAAGCUGCAAAUGCAUAUGAAUUAUUAUCAUUAAUUAGUCACUGACAAAAUAAUUAUGAAUGAGUAAGAGAUACAUAUGCUUGUACCUUUAUUCUUAUAGAAGCCUUUAAACCAAUUUAUCAGAUAAGUCAAGGCGCUGCAGUUCUUCAAAAGGGUGAAAUAAUAAUGACAUAUUCAGAAAAGAAACUCCAUAAGAAUAAGAGUUAUAAUCAGAGUAGUUGAUUUUUGUUUUCUGAUUGAGUGAGAGUUGCGUCACCCGUAGGGUGGUGGCGUUGCACUUAACUCCCUCCCAGUCGUUGCAACAAUCAGACGACAUUCCAUCAUCAUCAAACCAUGAAGAAAGAAUUUCGUCAUCAAAUCCAACAUCACUGGCUGAUAUGAAGAAGCUCUUGAUUUCCAACAGAGCAAUCCUCUUCGUUUCCACGCAUGCUUUGUAUCCAUGUAACUGAAUCAAAGCCAUGCCAAUCCACAAUGACAACUUCAUCAAAAGCAUUUUCAUUUUUAAUAUUAACUGCUAGAGAAACACUCACAAGAUUGACCUGUCAAUUGUUGCUCUCUUGAAUUUUUUCUGGUUCCAUAGCAAAUAUAUGACUUAUAUAUAUACAAUGGAAAUUUUGCGCAGAAUGAAAAUUUUGCACAUUUUCACGUGCCAUGUCAAUGAGAAAACAUGCAUGGAUAGAAAAAAGUAGGUGAGAGAAUGUUACCUGUUGAUACAUGUUAUCUGCUUGUGACUUUAGUACCGUCCAAAGAAAUUGAAAUGUGAAAUAAUUGAAGAUGCAAAUUGGUUGAUUUCACGGGCCUGGCCUCUGGCAAAGUGAAAUGUUGGCCACGCACUAUACCAGUAAAGUGUCAACAUUGUAGCAUAAGGAAAUUGCGGCAUCUCAGCUGGAUUUUGAGAGUCACUAUUUCGUAUAAUCAGUCCCAUUUGUUCGUGGGGACUCACAUUCUGUCCUAUUGUGGACUCACAAAUAUUUAACAUGAUUUUGAUAUUUUGAUAACUACUUAAACCGCAUUUCCUUGAUAAUUAAAGAAAAAGAGAAGUGAAUGAAGCAAAAGAUACUGAUGACCAUAAUUAUGUAAAUAAAUACAAGACUUUACAAUAGAUUAGACCACCAAUUUGUGCUUUUUCGUCCAAAAAUAAUGCAUCUGCUUUAACAAGAUACGAGUGAAUUGGGGCAUAUCUUUCUUUCAUAAUGUAAACUUGCCAAAAUACAUGUAAUCUGCUGGUGAAAUAAUUUUAUAAAACAAAGGCUUAAAGUUAAAGCUGACUAAAAAUAUUGGUGUACGUCAAGAACGCUACGGGGAAAAUUUAACCGCGAGCUGCAGUCUGCAGUCCCCAGCAAUCCGGGAAAAGGCUGAGGUGGUGCGGGCCUGCCCACUAAUUUGGCAGGUCUGAUGGGAUUUAUAAAUAAAAAUAAUGUAAUUUUAUAUAUUUUUUAAAUAAAAAAUUUGUUGAUGCCGUUGUGAGAUCCAUUGGAUCCAAGGUCUUGAAGAGGAAAGAUCACUAUGGCUGCAAGGUCUGGAAGAGGCAAGUCCAAUAAAGCCAAGGCUGACAAGAAGAAGAAAGAAGAGAAAGGUUUCAAUUGUUAAGCCUUAUUAUUCACUUCUUUCAUUGGAAAGUGCUUUUUGUAAAGUGCUUUUGCAGUCUAGCUUCCGUAUGUUCAUUGAUUUCUUUUGUUGUGCAGUAGUACCCAGUGUUCUUGAUAUCACAAUCAUCACCCCAUAUGAAUCACAAGUUGUUCUCAAGGUAUACAUAUAUACUUAUCAUUAAUACUUUCUCGUUUUGCCCUCACCAGCUAUUAUUAGGAUAUUAUUUUGUAAAACUUUAUAAAUAUAAAUGAAUUAUUAAUUAAUCAUCUUUUUCUUGUUUGAUUGAAAUUUGCUCGAAGGGCAUCUCCACUGACAAGAUACUUGAUGUGAAAAAAUUGUUGGCUUCCAAUGUAGAAACUUGCCACCUCACAAAUUAUUCUCUCUCUCACGAGGUAUAUAUAUAUAUAUUUUAUUAUCUCUCUUUUUUUUAAUUAUAUAAGAUUAUGAAUAAUGAUAUUAAGCACUAGAUACUAUUUUUUUCCACCUUAUUUUUAUUUGUUUAUUUCUUUAUGAUAUUAAUGCAUUAUUAGUUGUUUUUUUUUAUCAGGUCAAGGGGUAGAAAUUGAAUGAUAGAGUAGAGGUUGUUACUCUGAAGCCCUGUUUGCUCAGAAUGGUUGAAGGUAGGUGAAGCUCUCUCGUGUCAAAAUUUCUGAAUUAAAAAGUCUCAUGCAUGUGGAUGUGGGUCUCAUCUUAUUUGUUAUUUUUAAGAGUUCUGCUAUUUACCUCGGGUUAAACCCCGAAAGCUAAAACAAAACGACGUCGUUUCCUCUUCUUCAUGAAACGCUACCGUUUCACCCUAGCAAAAGCAAACGUUCCUCUCCUCUUCAUUUUCGUCUUCCUCUCCUGACUCCUCUUCGUUUCACCAGGGAACGACAUUCGUUUUGUUCGUUUUGUUUAAGAUCCAAAUCAAAGAAAUUUCCUUUUAAACAAAUCUGCCAUUUGUUUUCUCCUUUGAAAUUUCCUCUUAAAAAAUCUGCCAUUCGCGCAGGCAUGGUCACCGUCAACGUGGCAGGCAUCACGCGCAUCUCUCAUUGAACUCAUGAAGCGUCACAGUUAUCACAGCCGCAGGUAAUGCUUUGAUCUUUAGCUUUUCUAGGUUACGGUAAAAUGGGGGCAAUUUUGAUAGCUAUCAUCAUUUCCGUUUUAUUUAAUUUUCAGUUGAAAUAGAAUGUUAAGGAAAUAAGUGUGUUAAAUUGCAAUUGGUUUGUAAUUUAUGCUAAAUUGGUCUGCAAUUUGUGCUUGAGUUGGUCUGCAAUUUGUGCUUGAAUUGGUUUGCAUUUGUGCUGAAUUGGUCAGGAAUUUGUGCUGAAUUGGUCUGCAAUUUGUGCUGAAUUGGUCUGUAAUUUGUGCAGAAUUGGUCUGUAAUUUGUGCUUGAAUUGGUCUGCAAUUUGUGCUUAAAUUGGUCUGGAAUCACCAAAUAGUCCAGAAUUGUUGAUGUAACUUUUACAACUCUUAUAAAUAAUAGAAAGCAAGUUAAUUAGAAGCACCAAAAUAGUUCAGAAUCACCAAAAUAGAAGCACUAAAAUAGUCCAAAAUUGUUGAUUUUGUGGACACACACAGACACACACACAGGGAGAGAGAGACACGCACAGAGAGAGAGAGAGAGAGAGAGAGAGAGACACACACACACACACACACACACUGACACACACACACAGACACACACACAAAGAGACACACAAACACAGACACAGACACACACAUACACACAGCUUUGUUCAGCCCACUUUAGUAGCAAAUUCAAAUACCAAGAAACUGAGUUGGCCUUAUAAAACAUUGUUCUGGUUUUCUUUUCAUUAUUAACUGUAAUUGUAUCCCUUUUUGAGCUGUUUCUUUCCAACGGUCUAUGGCUUUACAAAUAAUGUCAUCCAACACAACCGAGAAUUGAAUCUCAUUGCAAAUGUGUAAUGGAUGUGGUGAUCAGAUGGAGCUGUUAACGUCACGCACAACAAAAAAUCCAAAUUGCAAAUUUUGGAUUUGUAGAGGAUGUAACAACUUUCAAUGGGCAGAAGAUCGUAAAUCUAGCGAAGAGAAAAUAGACUUGUUAGCGGAUGAGGUUAGGAAGUUGGCCUUGGAGAUUGAGUGUUUGUCCGUUAAAUUUCAACUAUUGCAUAAAGAACUUGAGCAUAUGUGAGAUCGUGAAGUGCAGAGGCGAUUGUUGGACGAUGAACUUCGAAAGAGAGAGGCACUACGAUAUGAUUUUAUUAAAUUAAUCAUGAUUGUUGUAUUAUGUUUUCUAUUCAAGUAUUGUUUUUAAGUUGUUUCAAUUUGUACUAUGUUACUGGAAAAGACUUGUAUUGUAGAAUUUGACCACUAUAUGUAAUAGCAUUUUCAUGUUAAAUAUAAGUUUUCGAUUGUUUGAAUUAAUUCAAAGUAUUCUGAAUUUAGAAUUUGACCCCCAGAAUACUUCUCAAAAUUAUACUAUGUCCCAACUCAUUCCAAUAUGUUCCAAAUAGAUCCAUUUUCAGAAUUUACAAAGUCUAAAAUUUAAAAAAUAUCGAAAUACACAUACACCAAGUUACAUUAGCUUUACAAUAAUACAUAAAACAUAAGCUAACUUUGUUGAUUCGUCAAGCCAAUUCCAAUGAACUUCGAUCAUGUGCUUGGUUCAUUAGUUGAAAACUCCCCUCGAUUGGCCUCCUCGAAAUUUUGUUGCGGAAAAUAUUGCAAGUUUGCGUGAUGGACUCCGCUGUAAUUCAUCCAAGACUGAUAAUAAGGGAGGAAAAAUGCAUGUUCUAGGGGUGCUUGCUGUGCUAGCUGUUAUACAAAAAAAAAAAAUUAUAUACAAAUUAUCAAACAUAUGACAAUGAAUGUAAAUAGCAAAAAAAAAAAAAUAUUACCAUAGCCAUAUGGCUCUCUUGUGUUGGGAUUGUAGUAGCCACUUGAGAAGAAAAAUCAUGUAUCUCCGAGUCCUAGAAAUAUGGUUAACACACAUUUAAAGUAUAUAUUAAAUUUAUUUAAAAUGAAUGUAUUAAAUAUAAAUGCAAUCAACAUACAUUUAAAGUAUACAUUAAAUUAAUUUAAAAUGAAUGUAUUAAAGUAAUUACCUCUACAGUUGUGCUUGUCGAAGCAUUAUUCGACUUCUGUUUUGGCCUCUUAAAUUGCUUUUGCUUUCUUUGACUAGGUGGACGAUCUUUACGCCGAGUUACUACUGGAUCAUAUAUAAUUUUGAUACAGCUUCCUGAUCCACUAUAAAUGGUUGUAUCGUGACCGUCACUUCGAACAUUCAGAGAUACAUCCUCCAUUGCUUUCUCGAUCCAACCCAUAAUAUUUUUAUGGCUUUCUUCAUUUUUUGAAGUUACCUCAGCAACAUCAUAAAAAUCAGUGCACUCCUCUUUAUAUCGCUGAUGUUCAAUGCUCGAACUUCGUGCAUCAUAAUUGACUUUGACUUUACUAUAGAAUCUCCGCACAUCUUUCCUCUAUCUUCGUAGAAUAUACUUUUCAGGCAGUAAUUGUAUACGGUUACGUGACAACACUGCGAUGGCGUGUCUGCAAAGAAUGCCCUUAUAUUCAAACAUUGAACACACACAAUGAACUUCACCCUCAUCUUUUGCAAAAAUGACUUGAAAAGUAUUUUCUCUACUAUUUUCAUCGUUUUCAAUAACUUCAUAUUCUAAUCCACCACAACUGAAAACCUCACAAUAUAUCUUAUUCACCAGCUCUUGCUGAAAUUCUUGAAACUUGGAAAUAGUGUACACUUCUUCAACUUGCUUCUCCAUUGCAAAACUGGUACGACAUGGCAUCCGUUGGCUAAAACACCUAACAUCCGCUUGCCAUUCUUUCUCAAUUUUACUUUCCAUUGCUUUCUCAUAUUUCUCCACAAAUUGCUUCAAAGUUGUUUUCGAGUUAACAUACCCAUCAAAGAAAGCAUUCAUACUUUCACUACGCUGAGUGGUUGGCAUUCCAGCCCAAAAAGAAGUUUUUACGAAACAUGGAACCCAACGAUUUCUUUCCUCAUAUAAACCAUUUAACCACUGAUUACUAAGAUCAUAUUUAUCUAACAUGUCAUGCCAAGCUUUCUCGAAUUCAACAGGAGUAUAUGAAUCAUAAACAAUAGAAUGUAAUGAAACUCUAAUGGCAUGAUAUUCAACAUACCUUCCUAACUUCUCAGGCACCUUUUUCAGUAUAUGCCAUAAACACCAUCGGUGCCUAGUGUUUGGAAAAACAAUCUCAAUCGCAUUUUUCAUCUCUUUGUCUUGAUCUGUAAUGAUUCCAAGGGGAGGAGAGCCAGACAUGCAUGAUAGCCAUGUGUCAAAUAUCCACGAAAAUGUCUCCGUGUCCUCAUGCGAAAUCAACCCACAUCCUAACAAAAUUGAUUGACCAUGAUGAUUAAUUCCUACAAAAGGAGCAAAUGACAUGUCAUACUUGUUUGUAAGGUAUGUGGUAUCAAAUGUGACCAUAUCUCCAAAGUUUUUAUAGGCUGCCUUACUCCUUGGAUCGGCCCAAUAUACAUUUUUUAACCGGCCCUCCUUAUUUAGGUCAAGACUGAAGAAAAACCCAUCAUUUUCUGUUUGCAUUUUCUUAAAAUGUCUCUGAAUUGCAACAACAUCCCCUUCUCCGAGCCUUAAUCGCCUCACCUUGUCAAUAUGAUUUCUAGCAUCUUUUUCUAAGAAUGAGACAUUUUCAAAGCCACCAGCCUCAACAACAAUCGACUUAAAACUUUGAGCCAUUUUAAUUCCAGCUUCAUCAUUUAUUUCAAGCUGCUUUUUAACAAAAGGACUAAUGGUACGGUUGCAUCGAUAAUACCUACUCUUGCUCGGACUCACGGCACGGUUGUGUUCAAGGAUCAUAUUUCCAAUUACCCAUUUUCUACUAACAAAAUCCAAACGUCCUCCAAGUUUAGCAUUGCAUUCAAUUUUUUGGUUUGGUUGAAGCCGCAAAACAUUAGUGCUUUUGGCUUUUGAAUUGCCAUUUCGCCCACAAGUAAAUGUCACAUAUCUCAAACUCCCAUCAUCCCCUUUUCUACAAGAUCUCCACAUCACUGGAAACCCCUCUUAUAGGCCAUAAGCCUUAUAAUAUUCAAACAUUUCAUCAGAACUAUUAAAAGACAUCCCAACUGCUGGCUCAACAACUUUUUCCACCACCAAUUCCUCAUUAUUUUCUUCCAAAUCAGCCCCCUGCAAAUCCUGCAAUUCUUUAACUUCAUCAACCUCCUCCACUUACUUCAAAUUAUCCAUUAACUGCUGCAAAUUAAAACAAUUCAAUAUAUUAUUAUUUAUUUUUCGUGAAUUCAUUAAAUUUAGAAUAAAAAAAUUAAAAACAAAAUGAAACAACUACUGAAGAUUCAAAUUUAAACAAUUCAAGCUUGUUGUAAAAGCAUCGCAAUUGGAAACUGAAAAUGUCAAAUAACGGCAAGCCGCAAAACAUUAACUAAUAGAAGUCCGUAGGCAUAAUUAAUACUCAAAUAACUUCAAAGUGUGGUUGAGCCAGACUAAGUUUAACUUAUAGCUAGCUCAAGCGAAAAUAUUGUAGGUCUUACAUGCGCAUGAGCGAAUUCCAACAAAAACAAGUUCAUGACUUACCACAAACUCAAACGUUAAUUCAUGUUGAUGCUAUCUCCAACUUAUCUAUUUAGGUUACGAACUAUAUUCUCAGCAGGGGUUAAAUUAUCUUCUCGAUUGAAUAUAAAGAAGAGAACAUUUGUAUACUCAAAUAUCUUCGUAAUCGAAAAUGAGAUAGAAAUUCGAAAACAAAGUUUAAUACAAACAUGACAACAAAAAUGAGUCAAAAAUUCGUAGUCGAAACUGAAACUUCGAAAAUUUGAAGAUUCGAAAACAAAAUGCUGCCAAAAGAAAACAGUACCUUAGCUUGUGCAAAGCCACGUAUAAUCGAAACUGGAAUCUGUAAAUGCCGAAACUUAGUCUUAUGUCAGAAAAAUUUAACAGCUGCUGUUAAUGCCGAUGAGGUUAGGAAUCAUGGACAAUGUCGAGACUCUAUCUUGUUCAAGCUUCUGCUUUUGCCUUGUUUGAGCCAAAUCUUAUCACCUUCGAGGAAUAUAAGAGCUUAAAGAUUUUGCAUUUCACUCGGGUGUGGUGAAUCGAAGAGGAAGAGCUUAAAGAUUUUGCGUUUUUCUCAGUUCAUAAAGUAGCUGUUUCUUUGCGUUUUUUCUGCUUUAGUUGGUUUUGUUUUUACUAGGCUGAAACGACUACGUUUCAUGGAAGCAAAAAGGAAAAAAAAAAGAAAGAAACCAAAACGGCAUCGUUUUGGUUUAAUUCGGGGUUUGACGCGGGGAAAGUAGCAUUUUCCUAUUUUUAAUUGUUAACAUUUAGAUCUUUUUAGUUCUACAUCCAUAGCCAAACUAUUUUAAGUAAACUAUAUUCAUUUUAUUGUAUGUUUUUUAAGAAUUUUUUAAUUCGAAAUAAUUUUUUUAAUAUUGUUGAAAAAGACAGGUUAAAGUAAAAAAAUUAUUGACUAAAUAAAUAAAUAAAUGACAUUAUUUUAUUUUUUAACAUUAAAAAAAACCAAUUUGAUGCAGUCCACUUAGUCCUGCACACUUGGAACGUUACCAUGCUUUUUAGUGCUGUACAUUUUGGACUCAAUUGUCCUUGUCAUUUCAAGUAAAAGUUGAAGCCGUCUCAAAAGUAAAAUAAUAGGGUCCGCCUAAGUUACAUUUAACGUAACUUACGGCUGACCCGCAAAAUAUCAUUAAUCCCCCUAUACUCUAUGUUAUUUACAAUAUAUUUAUAAGUAUUAUAAAAUUUUCUGUAUUGUAAAAUUUCGUUGAACCUCUUGUACUCUGUUUUAUUUUAAUGAAACUCUUGGAGUACGAAUUUGCCCCCUAUAAUUUUAAAUUCCCAAAAUACCCUACAGUUAAUUAAAAAUAUAAUAAUAAUUAAAUAAAUUAUAAUUAUAAUAAUUAUUUUAUUAUAAUUAUAAUAAUUAUUUUAUUAUAAUUAUAAUAAUUAUUUUAUUAUAAUUAUAAUAAUUAUUUUAUUAUUUUAUUAUAAUUAUAAUAAUUAUUUUAUUAUAAUUAUAAUAAUUAUUUUAUUAUAAUUAUAAUUUUUUAAUGGAUUAUUAUUAUUAUUAUUAACAAGAAUAAAAAGUAUUAUAACUAAUUAAUUUUUAGUUAAAAUGUUAAUAAUAACAUUAACAAUAACUAUUAUUGAUAAUUAAUUUUUGAAUAAUAAUAACAGUAACAAUAACAAUAAUUAAAAUACAAAAGAAUAAUUAUGAUAAAAAUUAAUGAAGGAUUUUAUAAUAAUUUGUUACAAUUUAAUUUAUUCUGAUUUUGAUUUUAAGACAAAGUAAACAAAUAAAUGGUAAUACAGCUCAUUCUAAUUAUGAUUCAUGCCGUUCAAAUAAAUAAAUUAUUAUGAUUCCAAUUCUUUAUUUGGAUUCUAGAUAUGUCGAUUCUAACUUAUUAUGUUUUCAGUAAAUUUUGAUUUAUGUUUAGUGAAUGCACUAUAAAAUUCAUAAUACUUAUAAAAAAUUGUAAAUAAUAUAGAGUGGUCUAAUUGAAUAUAAAGUGAUUUACAAUUUUAUAGUGCAUUCACUAAAAAUGAAUCGAAAUUAGUUGGAAACAUAAUGAGUUAAAAUUGGAUUAGCUAGAAUUAAAAUGAAAAAUUGAAAUCAGAAUAAUUUAUUUACUUGAACUGCAUGAAUCCUAAUUAGAAUAAACUGUAUUACCAUUUAUGUGUUUACUUUGUCUUAGAAUCAAUAUCGAAAUGAGUUAAAUUGUAACAAAUUACUAUAAAAUUCUUAAUUAAUUUAUUAUAAUUAUUACUUUGUAUUUUAAUUAUUGUUAUUGUUAUUAUUCGUCAAAAAUUAAUUAUUAAUAGUAAUUAUUGUUAAUUAUUAUUAUUGAUAUUUUAACUAAAAAUUAUUGUUAAUUAUUGUUAAUAGAUUAAUUAAUUAUAAUACUUUUUAUUGUUGUUGUUAAUAAUAAUAAUAAUCCAUUUAAAAAUUAUAAUUUUAUUUAUAAUUAUAAUAAAAUAAUUAUUAUAAUUAUAAUUUAUUUAAUAAGUAUUAUAUUUUUAAUUAAAUGUAGGGUAUUUUGAGAACUUAAAAUUAUAGGGGGCAAAUUCAUACUCCAAGAGUUUCAUUAAAAUAAAACAGAGUACAAGAGGUUCAACGAAAUUUUACAAUACAGAAAAUUUUAUAAUAUUUAUAAAUAAAUUGUAAAUAAUAUAGAGUAUAGAGGGAUUAAUGAUAUUUUGCGAGUGUUGGGUUAAAUGUAACUGAUCCAAAAUAAUAAUGUGCAAUUAAGUAACUGGCCUAAACUUUAGAAAUUUCAGAAGUUACAGUAUACGCAGGUCACAUCUAGGACCAUUAUUAGUUUAAUCAUUAAAUGACAAAAUUUUGCCAAUCUUGAGGGGGCUACUUAAAAAUGCAAGCAUCUCGUCCCUUGCCUGCUUCAUAGAUGCUCUUACUCACCCCCCCCGUCAUCUCACUUGUGCAAACCAAAGAAAAAAGAAAGAUUAUUAUUUUCCAUUUAUUACACAAAAAACAAUAAUUCCUUUUUAUUGCUCCAUGUUUAUUAUUUUAUUCUAUUUCUCCAGAAUCUCUCUUUAUCAAUUAAAUUUAUGAUAUAGAUAUUGAAGAUUUGCUUAAAUCAGAAAACUUGUUCAUAUUUCUGGUCAAUAUAAUACAUCCCUUAAAAGGUAAAAAUAGGGAAAAAAAAAAACAAGAAUGAUGAUUUUUUUUUUUUUUUUGGUUUUGACUGUUCUAGACAAUAAAGAAAUAUUUUGAAAGGGUCGGAGAUUACAAUGAAUCUAUACACUUGUGGAAAUAUUUUUAAGGCAUAAAUAAGUGCAACUUGAGAGCAUUUUGUUUUUUGUUCCACUAUAUAUUUUUAUACAACUGCCGCCUUAGAUUGGGUGCAUCACUUCAUUAUAUAAUCAGUAAAAAUUAAUUAUAUAAAUGGAAUCAUUCUCUAUUACAAUUAUUCGACUUCAUGAAGUAACAACUGAUGUUUUUUACCACAUUGUCAAAAGAGUUCAACUUUUAUUUGAGAAUACACCAUAUAAAAGAAAAAGAAAAAAAUAAAAACAAGAGUACACCAUAGAAAAGAAAAAAAUAAAACAAGUUUUAGAAUUAGUAGAUUAGAAUUGUUAUAAGAAAGAGUUGUCCCUAUAACUUCAAUAAGCUAGCCAUGUUUCUGAAGUUUGUUUUACUACCCUUACCAAACUUUUUCUAGUUGAUAUUAAUAACUUUAGUUUAGUAAACAGAAGCAAGAAGGUUAGAAUUAAUAACUUUAUCGUGAAUAAUUAAUAUGAUUACAGUUUAAUAAAAUUAUAUGUAAAGGCUUAUUUAAAGAGCGAAAAUUUUAUUUUUUUAUCAUUCUUUAGUGCUUAUAAUUAUAAUUUAAUCUAGAAGUAUUUUAAUUGUAAAAAUUAUUUAAAAAAAUAAGUUUGACGAAUAGUUUAGAGCUUAUAAUUAUUUUCUACUUAUAAUUAAGUUAAUAUUUAAUAGAAAGAACUAAAAUAAUAAAAGCAAAAACCUUUUCCGGCAAUUCCUUGUUAUUUACAUUUUUGGCACUGUCCUUGACAGAGGACUACACCGAGGAAUCUCAGGCCGUGGCACACGUGCGGCGGCUUCUCGACAUCGUCGCGUGCACCACACGGUUCUCCAAGUCCAGAAACUCCCGAUUGCCGCCAUCGUCAGAGUCAUGUGCCAAAAAGAACGACAGUAGGCCCCACCAACCUUCACCAAACUCUGCCGCUCUGUCUGAUGGAGCAGCAACAGCAGCAGCAGAUAACCGAAGCGGGCCCCGCGCCACGUCAUCGCCAAUUUCAUCGGCGGUUUCUCCGAGUCUGGACAUGGCAGCCAUUCACCCGACGCCGAAACUCUCCGAGUUUUACGACUUCUUCUCUUUCUCUCACCUCACUCCCCCCGUCUUAAGUAAGCCUAAUGUUCAUUUAUAUAUUUGUCUUCGUUUCUUACAUGGUUGAUCAAAAAAAAAAAAAAAAGAAAAGAAAGAGGAAAAUGAUAUAAAUAUAUGUGAUUUAUUUGAAUAUGAAAUUUGUUUAUUGAUUUUAAUUUUUAAUAAUUUUGAUUUUGAAGAUUUGAGAAAAUGUGAACGCAAAGAAGGAGACAAGCGCGACAGUGAUUAUUUUGAAAUUCAGGUGCCAUUUAAUAUAAAGUUCUGAUUAUUGUUGUUUGUUGUUUAUGGACUAAUUAAUUGUAGAGUUAUUCAACUCGUUAUUUUUGCUGAUGAAUUGGCCAAUGAGUGUUAAAGAUUUAAUAAUCAUUGUCCGCUAAUUAAUAAGAAUGCAUGGAUUAUUUUCAUGUCUUUGUAAGUAAUGUGAGUAUUUGAAAGUGCGGGAAACUGUAUUUUGUGCUUACAGAUAAAAAUCUGCAAUGGAAAGCUUAUACAAGUAGUUGCAUCAGUAAAAGGGUUCUAUACUUUGGGAAAGCAGUUUUUCCAAAGCAACUCCCUGGUGGAUCUUCUGCAAAAUCUCAGUCGAGCUUUUGCCAAUGUGGGUACUCAAUAGUUGAAUCUACAGAUUAUUUUUUUCUUUUUUAUCUGAAUGCAUCUUUUUUUCCUUUGUAAAUUCAAUUAGCUUACCCUUCAAUUGUUUUGUUAAUAAUUAUGGUCAUUAUGCGUGAUGCAGGCAUAUGAAUCCUUAAUGAAAGCUUUUGUUGAACAUAAUAAGGUUACAAUUUCUGUGCUGACAUAGUUUAUUACCAAUUCAAAUGUGAUUUUAACUUGAUUUUACUGAUAUAGUAUAUUCAUUAUCCUUCUUCAGUUUGGUAAUCUUCCCUAUGGAUUUCGAGCUAAUACAUGGCUUGUACCUCCAUCUGUUGCUGAGUCUCCAUCAAAUUUCCCUUGCCUACCGGCAGAAGAUGAGAAUUGGGGUGGCAAUGGCGGAGGCCAGGGAAGAGAUGGAGAACAUGAUUUACGACCAUGGGCGACGGAAUUUGCUAUACUGGCUAGGCUUCCUUGCAAAACUGAAGAGGAGAGGGUGGUUAGAGAUCGGAAGGCCUUUUUGCUUCAUAACCAAUUUGUUGAUGUCUCAAUUUUUAAAGCUGUUGGAGCAAUACGCCGUCUCAUUGAUUCAAAUUUACACACUCAAGAUACAAUAAAGGGGGCAAUCUUGCAUGAAGAUCGUGUGGGAGACUUGUCCAUUACAGUAAAACGUGAUACAGUAGAUGCAAACUUGAAGUCUGAGGUUACUAUUAAAGGAAAUCAGUUAUCUGGUAUGUCUACUGCAGAAGUUGCUCAAAGGAAUUUACUAAAAGGUGUUACUGCAGAUGAGAGUGUAGUUGUUCACGUAAGUCGAUUUCUCCUUUACUUCUUACGCUUACGUUCACAGACCACACACAUAAAAGACAUUCAUCAAAGCUGAAAUUACUUACGUGGGCGGAAUAAUAUAGCUCCGGAAUAAUAUAGCUCUACCUUUGUCAGGGAGUGAUUUUUCUGUCGGAUUAAGAUGUUUCACUCUUUAUCUGAUAUCUAGCAUUUGAUGAUGGCCUAAAAUACCCAUCCUCUUCAUUCUCUCUUUCUACACAUUUAUGAAUGCACAAGAAAGUCAAUUUUAGUUUCUUUCCUAAGAAUCACUACUUGUUACUAACCUUAUAUAUCUGGUUUAGCUUCAUGAAUCUUUUGUUGCCAUUCUGUUUGGUGACUCCCUAUUCUGUUGAAAUCACUUGAUAGCAGGUCUUUCUACCCAUUAUCCAUAUCCCUCUGAUUUUCUACUUGUAGUUUGCGCCAGCUUAAUGUCAUCAACCCUUUUUGGGGAAGCCUAUUAACCUUGGUUGGGCAUGCUUGUAUUAUAUCAACUAGUGAUACAAUUGCUAAAGUUUUCAGCAUGGUAGAUCUUGAAAUAAAAUUUUCUUGAAAUAUCUAGAUUUAUCUUCCUUUUCUUUUUCUCUUUCUUUUAUUUUAGUUUCAAAGAUUUUGUUAUAAAGAGAACUGAACAAUAUAGUUUUUGGCAGGAUACCUCCUCAUUGGGUACCGUCAUUGUAAGACACUGUGGAUACACCGCCGUAGUAAAGGUUGUUGGUGAUGUGACGGAGAAGUUUGGCACACAAGAUAUUGAAAUUGAAGAUCAACCUGAUGGAGGAGCUAAUUCUCUUAAUAUUAACAGGUCUGAAAUUGUAACACAAUGCUUCCUCUGUCGAUUCCUCUUAGCACACAAAGACUAGGAAAUCUACAGAUGGAGAAUGGCUGUAAGAUAUGAAAAAUUAUCUUUCAACCACUAACCGUUUUAAGCUAUUCUGCAAGAUAUCUUAGAAAUGCUAACUGGUAUGAGCUUCUUUGCUUAGUGUCUAUCACAGUUGAAUUCAUGAUGCAGAGCAUUGUUAUUCUCCUUAUUUUUACCAGAUAGAACAGGAUUGAAACGGUGGUGUUGGGGAUUCUUAAGAAAGGAUAGCACCUGCUCCUUUUUCUUUCUGUUUAGAUGGGAUCUAAUCAGUAGAUGUCUGAACUCUUAAGGGGAUUUGAUGUCAGAUUUCUAAACCAGGUUUUCUUCAAGUGUUAAGUUUAUGAAUAGGCCAAAGAAAAGAAAGCUGAUAUCUAGUUAGGGAUAUGUACUCCUCUUUCAGCAUCCUAUGGACCAGAAAAUGGCUUUUCCUCCAUUAAAAUAUGUGUGAGAUUCUUCACUGUAUGGGGAUGCUUCACCUCUGCAUAGUUGUAGACCACCUAAAAAAUAACGAGUGGUUGCAGGAAACAUUAAGUCAUGGCUUUCACAAUAAUGGUGGAGUGUUUAUAGUUAUGUGCCUUGACAUUGGUUUGUAAUUGUUAUAUUAACAAAAUAACCAACAGACAUCGUUGAUGAUGUUCAAAUAAAGGAUAAAGGAAAGUAUAAUUACAGUGGAUGCUCAGUUGCUGAAAUAGGUCAUCAGCUUUUUGGAUUGUGCUAUUUCAGAAAGUAUUUAGACCUUCUUUGGUGGAUUCUGCCUUUGUUUCAUAUACUCUUAUAUCUUUCUCCAUUUAAGUUGUUCUGACAGGGUAAACUAUUUAUUGCAGCUUAAGGCUUGUACUUCAGAAGUCUUUCAGUGCUGAAUCAGCUAGAGGAGACCAGUCACCUCUGUGCAAUUUGGAUAAUUCAGAAGCUCUUAGAAGUCUUGUACGAAGAGUUAUUAAACAGAGUUUAGCAAAGCUAGAGCUGGAGCCAACUGCGUCAGAAAGAUCUAUUAGAUGGGAACUUGGUUCUUGUUGGGUGCAACAUCUACAAAAGCAGGAAACCCCAACAGAUAUCAAGUCAACGACGUCUGGGGAUGAUAUUGAGACUGAACAUGCUGUCAAAGGUCUUGGGAAGCAAUUUAAAUUUUUGAAGAAGAGGGAGAACAGACCUAACCUUGUUGGUAGCAAUUAUGAGGCUAACGAAGAUGACAAUGGACCGUGCAGCAUGAAUGUGGGAACUAAUGGCAGACAGCAAAGCAAUGGCGAGCUCAAUUGUGAGAUGGAAUUGAAAAAACUAAUUUCUGAAGAAUCCUUCUUGCGAUUGAAAGAAACUGGCACUGGCCUUCAUUCAAAGGUUGCAAAAUCUCAAAUUUGUUUUGUAUUUCAACUGUAAAGUUUGCUACUUUUUGUGUUUUCAUUAUGGUAAAUUUGGUUUGUUUUAUUUUCAUAAGGAAUGACUGGUAAAAUCAAUUUCUUGUGCAGGCAGUGGAUGAGCUUAUGAAAAUGACAUACAAAUAUUAUGAUGACAUUGCUUUACCAAAGCUGGUACUAUUUAAUUUAUUUAGGGCCUUUGUUGCAGCCAAUUUAGACGUGUGGGGAUGGUUUAUGGACUAAUUUGCAUUCUUUAUUAGGUAACAGACUUUGGAUCACUUGAACUUUCUCCGGUUGAUGGCCGCACACUGACAGACUUUAUGCAUUUAAGGGGACUACAAAUGCGCUCUUUAGGUCGCGUGGUGAGGAAUUUCUCCCUCUCUUUCUCUCUCAGACAUGCAACCUAUUCACCCGUGGAAAUCGGAAUAAACAAAUGUUGUCUUUCUUUAUGUAAACAAAACCCCUAAGUUAUCUUUCUAUAUGUAAACAAUCUCCCCAAGUCUUCCUGGAUUGAAUUAUCAAUGUUCCUUUUUGAAAAUUGUACUACAUGAUAGAAUUUUUGACAUGGUGAACUUUUCCAAGAUAUUGAAUUAUUGUCGUCUUUAGAUAUUACUGUAUGUUGUGUGACAUACAAUAUUUUGAGAAAUUGACAUGCUAAUACUUGAAAGCCUGGUAUUCUUCUUCUGUUGGUUCUAAUCCCAUUUACAAAUUCAGGUUGAACUUGCAGAGAAGCUUCCUCACAUACAAUCACUUUGUAUUCAUGAGAUGGUUACUCGAGCGUUCAAGCAUGUACUUAAAGGAGUCAUCGCAUCCGUUGACUAUUUAUCAGACCUAUCUGCAGCUAUAGCUUCUUCCCUAAAUUUCUUAUUUGGCUGUUGUGAGAUGGAAGAUGACCAAAGCUUGAAUGAAGAUCAUAUCCUUAGAUUGCAGUGGCUACGAACAUUUCUUGGCAGAAGAUUUGGUUGGUCCCUGAAAGACGAGUUUCAGCAUUUGAGAAAGAUUUCAAUUCUACGUGGGCUUUGCCAUAAGGUAAGGUACUGUCUUUUCGGUUCCUUUGGCAGCGGAUUAUUUUCAAAGCUUGAAUUUUGCUUGUAAACUUUACCCAGGUUGGGUUGGAGUUGGUUCCAAGAGAUUAUGAUAUGGAAUGUCCAAACCCAUUCACGAGAGAUGAUAUUGUCAGCAUGGUUCCUGUGUGCAAGGUGAGACUAUUUUCUCUCUUAAUUGUGUUUUGAUUUAGUUUUUACAUUCUCAAUGAGUCACUCAUUUGUAAAUUGAAUGUAAUUGUGCUAUUUUUAUGGCAUUCUACAGCAUGUAGGUUGCACUUCAGCUGAUGGACGGACUUUAUUAGAGUCAUCCAAAAUUGCCCUUGAUAAAGGAAAACUAGAAGAUGCUGUAAAUUAUGGGACAAAGGUAAUAACCCACUCGAUCUAUACGUAAGAAUUACAUUAUUCUUUUCAUAAUAAGGCAUCUGUUGAUCUCAUAUGAUGUAUUACUUGCAUUGUAAGGCACUGGCAAGGAUGAUAGCUGUUUGUGGUCCCUACCAUCGGACUACUGCAAGUGCUUACAGUCUUCUAGCUGUAGUUCUCUACCAUACUGGAGACUUUAAUCAGGUACGACAAUCUUCAGUUGUAUUUCAGUGUUAACUUGGUGAUUCUAAGUCGAGUAUAAUUAUAACGUCCUUCUGUACGGAGAUUCUCAUUCAGUGGGACAUUUGAUUUGAAACUGUGUUAUGGCUAGUUUUUAUGGUCUUGUAUAAAGAUAUGCAUUAGAAAUUAUAAUUUUCUGGACUUAGGAAUUACAUGGACAGGCAUUAGCAUAAUUUUGAUAUCAGAUUAUAUAUUUUAACUAAAUCAAACACAUUCAUGGUUCUUAUGUUCUGGCAUUUGGUCUAAUGGCAUCUGCGUCUGAGUGUUAGAGUAGCGUUCGUAUGUACUCAAGAUAUCUUCUUCUUCAUUUUAGGCAACUAUAUAUCAGCAGAAGGCAUUGGAUAUUAAUGAGAGGGAACUUGGUCUUGACCAUCCAGAUACAAUGAAAAGCUAUGGGGAUCUUUCAGUUUUCUAUUAUCGCCUUCAACACAUUGAAUUGGCUCUUAAGUAAGUAGCACUGCUUGAUUUACCAGAGCAACUUUGUGAUUUUCAUUCUUUAACUGAUUAAGGUUUAUUUAUUCAUAAAUUAAAUUGGAAGUUUCGAAAAAUGUGACCUUUGUAUUGAAUGUGCUUCGAACGAAUGCAGUUUUUAUCUACCUACUUUAGCUUUUAUUUGUCUUUUAUUGGCUCUAGCUCCUGAUCAUACCGUACCAUUGGCAGAUAUGUAAAUCGUGCCUUAUUCCUUUUGCAUUUUACUUGUGGACUUUCACAUCCAAACACGGCUGCAACAUACAUAAAUGUGGCUAUGAUGGAAGAGGGCAUGGGAAAUGUUCAUCUUUCUCUUAGAUAUUUGCAUGAAGCCCUUAAAUGCAACCAAAGACUAUUAGGAGGUGACCAUAUACAGGUUUUUCUCUCUCUAUUUACGCAUGUAUACACACUCUUUAGAAUUAUAAAUCUUUCUGUUAACUCAGAAUUUUGUUUGAUUUCUUCACGUGACAGACAGCUGCAAGUUAUCAUGCCAUAGCCAUAGCUCUUUCUUUGAUGGAGGCAUAUUCACUAAGUGUGCAACAUGAGCAAACUACACUUAAGAUUCUCCAAGCAAAGCUUGGACUAGAAGAUCUGCGUACUCAGGUGACUACAUGUAGUCAUAUUUUAAUUGGUUCUGUUGUGCAAUUUGGCUAGUUGGCUUCUUUCUUGUCAAUCUUUUACAGGUGAUAUUAUGAUAUAAAACAAAUUGUAUUGGAGGCAUAUUUUUGGUGUCAAAUAUGGAUAUGACUCAUUCAUUAAUUGUAUCGAAAUAUCAAAAUACGGAUAUGACCCGUUUAUUAAUCGUGUUGACUUGUUUAAUAUUAAAUACAAACAAAUUAAAAAUUAAUUUUAAAAUAACAAAUGUGUCAAAAAAAUGAGUUAUAAAUAAGUUAAAAUGACAUAAGUAUGACAUGAAUAAGUUUAUAACAUAAUGUGAGUAUGACAUGAGUCAUAAAUUUAGUGUUUAGUAUAUAUUUUAGUUAUUUUUUCCAAUAAUAUUAACACAUAAUAAUUGAUAUUUGUGUUAUAAACGUAUAAUCAUAUUGAGAUGGUCCAAAACAGAUACGACAUGGUUAUUUAUCGUGUUGUGUCAACUCAUUUAUUAAUCGUGUCAAUAUUUGUCAACACGAAUAUGGGUCAUAUGUCAUAUUAUGUUGUGUAAUCGUGUCGUAAUCCAUUUUCCCACCUCUAAUCUUAACUGUCAUAAGAGAAUUUCUCAAGUUCCAUAUUAUUGAUGGGAAGAGAAUUUUGUUAUUUUGUUGUAUUUUUUUUCGUUUUACAGGAUGCUGCUGCAUGGCUGGAGUAUUUUGAAUCAAAAGCUCUAGAGCAGCAAGAAGCGGCACGGAAUGGAACUCCAAAGCCAGAUGCGUCCAUUGCGAGUAAAGGUCACCUUAGGUAUUAACAGGGUAUUCCCACAUUACUUGUUUCUAAAUUGUUGAUUAUUUCUUGUGGCACCAAGACCUAUAAUGAUCGCUUUUUGCAGUGUAUCAGAUCUCCUGGAUUACAUUAGUCCUGGUCAAGAUUCUAAAAGAAGCGAAGCACAUAGGAAACAACGACGUGCAAAGGUAGUAUAUACUUAGUGCCUGUUUAGUAUGACUUAUCUAAUAGUCAUAAAUUUUUAUUUAAUCCCAUAAGCUGUUAUCAAUUUUUUUUUGUUGUUUAAUUGUUUUUUCGUAGAGCUCUUGAAAAUUAAAUAAGUUAUUUUGCCUCUACUACCAAAAGCUCAAAUUUUGUGCUUUUAAGAGUAGAGGUUAAAAAGUUUUUUUUAAAUGUUAAAAUAUCUAAAAUAUUUUCUACUUAUUUGACAAUCUUAUUUUAUUCUUUUCAAAACAUAACUUUAAAAAAUUUGCUUAUUAAAGUAAUUUUAUAAUUUUCAAUAAAAGCUCUUAUUGACAACCAAACAACACAAAUUUUUUGGGUAAAAACUUUACUUAUAAAAUCUUUACUAACAAAAGCUCUACUCAGAUAAGAUCUAUUUGAAAAGCUAUGUCAAAUGAAGCAUUAAGCCUGCUGCUGUUCUCUGUUCCUUUUUUCUUGUGAUGUCAUCUGAAUGGAUUCUUAAACUAAUUGUAGUUAGGAUUUGGUAUUUUAGAGUACACUCUGCUGGCUGCAUAUAGUUUUGGAUUUGCUGAUGACACGAGUAAACUUGUUGGCCAUGCAAAAUGCAACUAUAUAUCUGCAGGAUAAUAGUUCUACUUUUCUGAGUGAACUCUGAAGGCACCAAUUAUAACAUCCAUUUCCAGCAUAGAAUCCCCUGCCCAACAAAAAGAAAUCUAACAUGCUUAUACAGAUCGCAGACAUGAUUGAAACUUCAGAAGUUUCUGAUCUAUUGAUGGCCAUAGAUUGGGCCAGCUGAUAGUUAGUAGGCAAUGAUGGAGGGUUGCUUGGUCAAGCUGCUAGUUCUUUGGAAAUUCAGAGAUGAUGAGCAGAACGAGUGAUAAUUUUUGUUUUCCCCCAUAAUCUUGAACAGAGUGGGAAGAAACCAUUAAUUUGAAGUGCAAUGGAUGGAUAUGACAGAUCUAUCAUUUUGGCUAGUAGAUGGAGUUCUUCCAUUCUACUGUUAUUUACUGGUUGUUUUUAUUGAUUCUAGAAAAACAUUUUUUGAUUUGGCAGUUGGAGUUUUUCCCUUUUUUUUUUCUCCCCAUUUUGUAGGCCUUAGAGAACCAAAUAAUACUACAUAUUAGAUAGACAGGAUUAUUAUGUGCUAAUUUGAAGUAUUACCUGGUUGACAAUUUAAGACACUAGUAAAGUAUUUCGCUAUGAUUAUUUUUUUUUGAGAAUUCCAUGAUUCAAAAGGCCGAAGAAUUUCAUUAGUUUAACAUAGUAUAUAUUAACAUAAUUUCUCACUGAGUGUUUUUUUCAACAUUUCAGGCAUGUACAUAUCAAAUUCCCAUUAUGUUCCACUGAAUUCUGCCUCAUGUUAUGUCCGGAUUUGUUGUAAUAAAUUUUGCUACUGUAAAAUUACAAGAUGAUUGUAACUUAAAAUGAACUAUUUCUAUUUGCUCAAUUUUUGACAUUUUAUAUGCAUACAAGUUAAAAAGGUUUUGUUUAUUUUUAUUUUUUUAUUUUUUCAGGUAAUGCAGAUUAGGGAAAAGAUUCAUGGAGCACAUCAUGAUAUGAUGGUGGAAGAUGCACUGCCCCAUGAUGGAUUGAAAAAGAGGAUGACUAUAGUGGAAAGCAAGACCGAGGAAGUAAUAGAAGACAGUGUUCAACCUGAAGAGCCAGAAGAGAAUGAUGAUAUUACUAGAUAUGGACCGGCAAUUUCAGGUGAGUUUGUGGAAGAAACAAAUUCAGAUGAGGGGUGGCAAGAAGCCAAUCCAAAAGGUAGGUCAGGAAAUGCUGCUGUUCGGAAGCUCAGCCGGAGGCGACCUGUUCUUACAAAGCUAAAUGUCAAUGGUUGUGAACAUUCAAAUCUUAGAGAAAAAGGCAAUAGACGGGAAAUUGUAUCUCCAGCACGGGAAAAAGCUUCAAGGACCACCACCACUGAGUUAACAGGCACGAAGGAUUCAAUUAAAUUGCAGGGAAAAGCUUCUGUCUCCAAAGUUUAUGCAAGUCCACCAAAC